GACGAACGCUGGCUGCGUGCUUAACACAUGCAAGUCGAACGCUGAAACCCUGGCGCUUGCACCGGGGUGGAUGAGUGGCGAACGGGUGAGUAACACGUGAGUAACCUGCCCCCGACUUCGGGAUAAGCCCGGGAAACUGGGUCUAAUACCGGAUAUGAGCGCCCCUCGCAUGAGGGAUGCUGGAAAGUCUUUUCGGUUGGGGAUGGGCUCGCGGCCUAUCAGUUUGUUGGUGAGGUAAUGGCUCACCAAGACGACGACGGGUAGCCGGCCUGAGAGGGCGACCGGCCACACUGGGACUGAGACACGGCCCAGACUCCUACGGGAGGCAGCAGUGGGGAAUAUUGCACAAUGGGGGAAACCCUGAUGCAGCGACGCAGCGUGCGGGAUGACGGCCUUCGGGUUGUAAACCGCUUUCAGCAGGGAAGAAGCCCCUUGGGGUGACGGUACCUGCAGAAGAAGUACCGGCUAACUACGUGCCAGCCGCCGCGGUAA
rnacentral:rRNA from 1 species